rnacentral:lncRNA from 1 species
CAACAAUGUAUAAACAUAUAUCAUGACAAAAACAUACUAAGUAUUAUUAAUCGGCUAGCAAAGAGAAGUUAAACAUACGACAUGAAGUGAAUUAACUAGUGCGCACGGCUAGUUAAAAAACAAACUUCCUUCGACAAUAAGUUUCUAAUUAAAUCAUGGCUGCGCCUGGGCAGCGUUAUUGUGAGAGUGAAAGUGGAUGUGCUGCUACUCCCCUCAUUCCCAACAUGUAUCAAGUACCUGCAUUGAGUAAUGCAAGAGUGAGAUGACACAUCUCAGCAAGUAAAAUAAUAUCAAACUGUUAACCACAUAAGAACAUUGUUUUACCACCACUUGAUUCCACAACCUUCUUAUUACGAAGGUGCAGCAUGUAUACAACGUACAACACACCUAGUCACCACACCUUGCAGGUAGAAACCACAAUAGUAACAUAGUAAUGUCACACUUCAUAUAUAUACCUCAUGAGUGCAAAUGUCUGCAAAUGCAAGGAUGACUUCUGCCUUCAUACCUCUAAGGAUAUGAAGCCGCAUCGUACCCCUCCUCGGGCAACGUACGAUGCUAAAAAUGUACCGGUACGGUCGGACCAUAAGAUCACGACAUAACUUCAAAAUGCAAGAUGGAUGAUGCGAUGAUCAUGUCAUGCCUACAACACUUCAUAUAACGUGAUUCAAAAAAAUACUUCAACUUCAUCCAAGAUGGGAAUCAACCACAUAUAUCAUUACCAAAUUAUGAUCAUCCACAAUAUUAGACAAUUGAGAAUUAAUACUUCCAAACAAAUAAACUUCAUCAUAGAAUUCAAUGAUUAACAUAAUUAAAACUUAUGCAUACUCAAUGUCAGGGAAUAGGAUGCAACCCAAACGGUAGCAACCACCACUGUAUUUACUUGCCUUUACCGGAAGUUCGGGCAAAUCCCUAAGUACGAUCCGGAAGUCCACCACCUGUUUUUGACACACAACUUAGUGCACCAAUUUCACAUAAUCAGGCUCAUAAACGACGCCGCACCUACGCACAAACUCAAACCCCGUCGCGGGUUACAUCUCUCCCCACACCCACCAAACUGCAGCGGCGCUGCUUAAUAAUUUCAUAACUUUAAAAUUAUGACAGCAGUGGUAACAAACAAAAACUCCAGAGGCAUCUACAUGAAAUUCCCCACAAGUUUUGUAUACAAUUUAUAAUUAAAUUCCAACAUCUAAUUAGCCCAAAACAGUCCACAAGAUGAACCCUGUAAUCUGUUUUUUUGUCUUUUGGACAGCGACAUACCCGGAUUCAAACAGCGAUAUCUUUUAAAAUAUAAUUCCAAAUCAAGCACAUAAGUACUUAUUGGAAAGAUAAGACAAAGCCCUACAUGAUUAUCAUACUGGUUAACACUAAUUACCCACGAAAAAUUCCCAGAAACUGCUAAUACUACUGCUGUUCACCCACCUGAAAAAUCUGUUUUUUUGGACAGCAACAUAACCGGAUUCAAACAACGAUAUCUCCUAAAUUAUAACUCCAAAUCGAGCGCAUAAGUACUCGUUGGAAAGGUAUGACAAAGCUCUACAUGAUUCUCCCACUGAUCCCUACUAAUUUCCCACGAAAAAUUCCUAGAAAUCACUAGAACUACUGCUGUUCGUCCACCCACUAAAUUUCUGGACAGCACCUCUACCAAAUCGCAUAGGUAAACAUGUAACCAAUUGGAUUGCAGCACAAAUACAACAAAAUGAUCACGAAAAUCACCUUGGGUUCCUCCUUUCCUCCUUCUUUUCUUCCUUCUUCCUCCCUCCAAACUCCCAUGGAAGACUCGCACCCACACGACGGACACCAAGCGGGGAGGCUCCACCUUGGAGAGGAAGAGGUGGGGCUAGGGUUGAGGGGUGGCGCUGCAAUCACUUGGGGAAGAAGGAGAGGGAUUGGGGCGGCUGCAAGAGUGGAAGAGAGAGGGGAGGGGCGGCCAAAGGGGUG